AGGUUGAAGGUUGGGUAACACUAACUGGAGGACCGAACCGACUAAUGUUGAAAAAUUAGCGGAUGACUUGUGGCUGGGGGUGAAAGGCCAAUCAAACCGGGAGAUAGCUGGUUCUCCCCGAAAGCUAUUUAGGUAGCGCCUCGUGAAUUCAUCUCCGGGGGUAGAGCACUGUUUCGGCAAGGGGGUCAUCCCGACUUACCAACCCGAUGCAAACUGCGAAUACCGGAGAAUGUUAUCACGGGAGACACACGGCGGGUGCUAACGUCCGUCGUGAAGAGGGAAACAACCCAGACCGCCAGCUAAGGUCCCAAAGUCAUGGUUAAGUGGGAAACGAUGUGGGAAGGCCCAGACAGCCAGGAUGUUGGCUUAGAAGCAGCCAUCAUUUAAAGAAAGCGUAAUAGCUCACUGGUCGAGUCGGCCUGCGCGGAAGAUGUAACGGGGCUAAACCAUGCACCGAAGCUGCG
rnacentral:rRNA from 1 species